rnacentral:rRNA from 1 species
CAGCAGCCACGGGAACACGAAGGGUGCAAGCGUUACUCGGAAUUACUGGGCGUAAAGCGUGCGUAGGUGGUUGUUUAAGUCUGCUGUGAAAGCCCUGGGCUCAACCUGGGAAUUGCAGUGGAUACUGGGCGACUAGAGUAAGGUAGAGGAUAGUGGAAUUUCCGGUGUAGCAGUGAAAUGCGUAGAGAUCGGAAGGAACAUCUGUGGCGAAGGCGACUAUCUGGGCCAUUACUGACACUGAGGCACGAAAGCGUGGGGAGCAAACAGGAUUAGAUACCCCUGUAGUCCCUGUCUCUUAUAC